rnacentral:rRNA from 1 species
UACGAAGGGGGCUAGCGUUGUUCGGAAUCACUGGGCGUAAAGGGCGCGUAGGCGGUCAGUGCAAGUCAGUUGUGAAAUCUCCGAUCUUAACUCUCAAAGGUCAACUGAUACUGCUCGACUAGAGUGCGGAAGGGGCAACUGGAAUUCUUGGUGUAGCGGUGAAAUGCGUAGAUAUCAAGAGGAACACCUGCGGCGAAGGCGGGUUGCUGGGCCGACACUGACGCUGAAGCGCGAAAGCUAGGGGAGCGAACGGG